rnacentral:rRNA from 1 species
CGCGGAACGCGAAGAAACGGCGAUGGAAAUUUGGGUGUAAAGCGUAAGUCUAGUGGCGGACGGGUGAGUAACACGUGAGCAACCUGCCUUUUACAGUGGAAUAACGACGGGAAACUGUCGCUAAUACCGCAUGACAUAUCCGCUUGGCAUCGAGUGGGUAUCAAAGGAGAAAUCCGGUAAAAGAUGGGCUCGCGUCCGAUUAGGUAGUUGGUGAGGUAACGGCUCACCAAGCCCGCGAUCGGUAGCCGGACUGAGAGGUUGACCGGCCACAUUGGGACUGAGACACGGCCCAGACUCCUACGGGAGGCAGCAGUGGGGGAUAUUGCACAAUGGGGGAAACCCUGAUGCAGCGACGCCGCGUGGGUGAAGACGGUCUUCGGAUUGUAAAGCCCUGUUGCAGAGGACGAAUACUGACGGUACUCUGUGAGGAAGCCACGGCUAACUACGUGCCAGCAGCCGCGGUAAU